rnacentral:rRNA from 1 species
UGGGGAAUAUUGGACAAUGGGGGAAACCCUGAUCCAGCCAUGCCGCGUGAAUGAUGAAGGCCUUAGGGUUGUAAAGUUCUUUUGUCAGGGAAGAUAAUGACGGUACCUGAAGAAUAAGCACCGGCUAACUUCGUGCCAGCAGCCGCGGUAAUACGAAGGGUGCUAGCGUUGUUCGGAAUCACUGGGCGUAAAGCGCGCGUAGGCGGUUAUUCAAGUCAGGGGUGAAAUCCUGGGGCUCAACCCCAGAAUUGCCUUUGAAACUGUAUGACUAGAGUGUCGGAGGGGAUAGCGGAAUUGCUAAUGUAGCGGUGAAAUGCGUAGAUAUUAGCAGGAACACCGGUGGCGAAGGCGGCUAUCUGGACGACAACUGACGCUGAGGCGCGAAAGCGCGGGGAUCAAACAG